UGUGGGAGCUGGCUUGCCAGCGAUAGCGGUGUGUCAGUCGGUAUGAAUUUGACUGGUCUACCGCCAUCGCUGGCAAGCCUGCUCCCACA
rnacentral:antisense_RNA from 1 species